rnacentral:rRNA from 1 species
UACGUAGGGGGCAAGCGUUGUCCGGAUUUAUUGGGCGUAAAGAGCGUGUAGGCGGCUAGGUAGGUCCGUUGUGAAAACUCGAGGCUCAACCUCGAGACGCCGAUGGAAACCAUCUGGCUAGAGUCCGGAAGAGGAGAGUGGAAUUCCUGGUGUAGCGGUGAAACGCGCAGAUAUCAGGAAGAACACCCGUGGCUAAGGCGGCUCUCUAGUACGGUACUGACGCUGAGACGCGAAAGCGUGGGGAGCGAACAGG